rnacentral:rRNA from 1 species
UACAGAGGGUGCUAGCGUUGUUCGGAAUCAUUGGGCGUAAAGGGCGUGUAGGCGGUUUGCUAAGUCAUGUGUGAAAUCCCUCGGCUUAACCGGGGAACGACGCAUGAAACUGGCAAGCUAGAGUACCAAAGAGGGGGGUGGAAUUCCCGGUGUAGCGGUGAAAUGCGUAGAUAUCUGGAGGAACACCGGUGGCGAAGGCGGCAUCCUGGGCCGGUAUUGACGCUGAGGAGCGAAAGCCAGGGGAGCAAACGGG